AAGCUCGUAGUUGAAUUUCGGGGUUCUACCGUCGGUCGGGCUACCAAGUCUGUACUGGUGUGUAGAAUUUCUACCUUCUGGAGAACCAUCAUGUUAUUAAUUUAGCGUGGUGGGAAACCAGGACCUUUACCUUGAAAAAAUUAGAGUGUUCAAAGCAGGCUUAUGUCUGAAUACAUUAGCAUGGAAUAAUAGAAUAGGACGGUGGUCCUGUUUUGUUGGUUCCUGAAUCACCGUAAUGAUUAAUAGGGAUAGUUGGG
rnacentral:rRNA from 1 species